GCCUGGCUAGCUCAGUCGGUAGAGCGUGAGAACUCUGUAUCUCAGGGUUGUGAGAUCAAGCCCCACGCUGGGUG
rnacentral:tRNA from 1 species